GAAUAACAUUGGAAUUCAGGUAUCGGAGUAUGAGUGCUUCGGUUAAAAAGGAAGCAGGUGUAAUUCCUGCACGGUCCCGCCGCUGUGAUGGGGAGAUGUUUCGUAAAGGCCACUGGUUUAGUCUGGGAAGGUGCGAAACAUUGAUGAUCCAGAGUCAGAAGACCUGCCUGUAUUUUAGACACCAA
rnacentral:ncRNA from 2 species